CCUCCAUACCACCCUGAACACACCCCAUCCCAACUGACAUCAGAAGCUAAGCAGGGUCUGGCCUGGUUAGUACAUAGAUCAAAGACUGCCUGGCAAUACUGAGUGCUGUAUGCUUAAAACCCAGGAGGCGGU
rnacentral:rRNA from 1 species